AGUGAGAUGGCAAUGGACACCUUUGCACCAACCUCGUGCGCGUGGAACGGAUUGUUUGGGAAGCAUCGCUCGCUACUCUUCCCCACAACACACACAUACACACAGAGGUAAUACGCGCGCGCGCGCGCACUCCUCAUUCCGAUUUCCCCUGCUCUCUCCCAGGCCCAGCCCACGAAGAGCUUUGGUCUACCUUCCGUGCUAGUGGGGCUGUCUAUGAGAGUAAUCCGCUGGCGCUAACCUCUUACAGUCCUCAUCUCCAUUCCUGUCCCCGCCCCAACUCUAUUUUGUCUCCAUGGCAAUUGUUAUGCAUUCAAAAGAAGAAGAAAAGCAAUCCAGUCCCUUGCAUGGGGAAAAGCUUGAAAGUCAGUGUGGGUUUGGGGAGUGGCUGAGAGAGGGAAGAUAAGAUGCAAAGCAUCACAUGUCCUCUUUCGGACACAUGCAACCUUCGGUGGACAAUUUGCAAGAAGCCCCCCACCAAACCGCACCACCAGCCUUCCACCCCUGUCCCCCGCUUCUUUGCAAGAGCUGUAUCUAAACGCUCAGGCCACCUGGCCUGAAAGGGGCUAUGACCAUAAUAUCCUAUUGUUUCCUCUCCAAUGUGGGCUGGAAUAACCCACACGGACGGAUGCGCUAGUAGAUAGGCUCCAACACCAGGUAGUUAAACGGCCCUCUUUUGCAUAGAGUUGCCGGGGGGAGGGGCGGCGGUGCCAGAAAGGACACUAGGGGUCGUGGUACCCCAUGUCUCUCCUCCAUCUGUGGCACCUCUGAAGAUCCCUGGGAAUGUUGCAGGGUUAUUUGGCAGGGAGGAAGUAACAAGGCGAGAGAGACGCGUGUGAAGACUUCUGACUUUUGCCAAGCACCGCAUGAGUGAGCAUCGCCGGCUAUGUUCGCUGCUACUACCCACCCCAGGAGGAGGGGGGAAUGGCACGUUUCCCUUGCGCGCAUACGCGCAAACACACACACACCACACGCCCCACAUAUAUCAGGCUACAGCCCCAGCCCCAAUUGCUACUACUAAGAUGAUAAUUACAAAGAAAUAAAGGAGGAUGUACUAUGCGGGGUUGAUAUUCCCACACUUCCUGGUACCUCCAGAUCUGUUGCAGAACACGGGAGCCGGCGAGGCACAUGCUGCCUCUCCCCGCGGCGCUUGCACACAAAGGAAGGCACCCCAACUGUCAGCGCCAAGGAAGACACUGCAGCAAUAGAAAAGGUCUACCUCCACCCCCAAAUGUGGUUUUCCCGCCCUUCACAAUGCUGGAAAGAGGGAGGUAGAAGAGGACCUGUCAAACCCAAACACCUUGGGAAGCCAGCCCCCACCCACCCAGGCAAAAUAAAAUAAAAUAAUGCCUUAAAGCAGGUGAACUGGGGGAGAUAGGAAAGAGGCUUCCGUUGUCCCCAUUUAUUCUCCCCCUCCCGUUCUUUCUUCCCAGAGCUCAGUACGGAAAGGGAAAGGCAGAAAGAGAGACAAAGGAAAUUCUGGAGAGGAGGGGGGUGUAUAGACAAAGGAGUGUUGCGCGGGGUGGGGGGCUGUGGAGAAUGCAGGAGGAAGAGGAGGAGAAGGGGUUGGCAAAACACAGAGAGAGACACACGCACACACGCACACACCUGGCCGGGCCCCUUACCUUUAGAUGCAUCUUUCUCUUCCUUUGACUUGAUCACCUUCCCGCUCAUAGAUCCCAGUUUGGUUGUAAAAUCCCCCCAAGAGACCUCGUGUGGACAAUCCGACUGGACUUCCAGGAAAUGCAGGCAGUGGAUGGAGAUAUGUGGACAGAGCGAUGAGAGCGCCUUCUUUUCCCCCCACCUUUCUUUUGUGGGUAAACGAAGAGGGGGUUGAAGAGAGGAGGGAAAUCCUAAAAGCAAAAUGUAUUUUUCUUGAAAAAUAAUAAAUAAAAAAGGAAGGGGACGGGAGGAAGAAGAGAAGGGAAAGAGGGGGAGAAAGGAAGAAUCAGGAGGAAAUCUUGAUGGCUCCUCGUGCUUUUUCCUGGUGCAGGAGGGUUCUUAAAGCCCACCACCACUGCCAAAGACUGUAUUGAACCUGCUGGCUGGUGCUGUCUCUCUCCCCCCUCCUGCCUAGUACAGGAGAAAGGGGGGCAGUGAAAGCGAGGGGGGUCCCCUGGACAUCCGCAGGAUUCUCCCUCGCCUUGGCUGGGAGGUUUGCAAGAGACAAAAGCAGUUUGCUGCCUCUCUCUCCCCCGCCAGAGAUUCCCUCUCCUCCUUCCACCUUUCCCAGGCAGUAGGAGAGGAGGAGGGGACCACCACUCCUAAUAGCUCCAGCCCACCCCACCCCCACCCCCCAGAUGCUACUGGCAGGCAGAGAAUUACACACACCUCUCUUGUUCUCCCCACUCAAGCGAAGGGCGGUGGGGUUGCCGCUUGGGGGAGGGAGCGUGCAAUUUCCCUGCCUCCCCCCGCUCCUACACACACGAUUCUUGUAAAAGUCUAGGGAGGUGUUGGAAGAAACGAAGGGGGGGUCAUUACACUGCAGAGAGGGGCGUGGAUAAAACUUGCAGGGUUUCUUUUCAAACACAGGAGAGUCGCUCAACAAAUUGUAUGUUCAGGUAGGGAGAAUAGCUAUGGGCAAAGCUGUUCCCCAGGUGGAGAGAGAGGCGCUACCUGUUGGGUCUGGAGUAAAAGAGGGAUGGGCGGGGGCUGCUUCUGCGUGGCCAAAAAAGAAAGGAGAGCAAAUGCGUAAUAAAAGAGGGUUUCGCAUUUGCAUGAAAUUUGCAUAUGAAAUUUGCAUAGCAACGCAAUGCUUCUCCAUAGGGAAGCCUAUGACCUGUGUGCCUGCUCUCCAGGUUCUGGAUGUGGAGCAACUUCCAAGGGCCGCCUUGCCCUCCCUUCUUGAUCUUUAAGGCAGACUUCAACCCAGCAUCUCUUCCAACCAAGGACACCUUCCAAUAAAGGGCUGGCCUCUAAGAGAGGGUUGGCCUCUGUUAAGGAAGGCAGAAUUUUACUUCCCUGGGACAGCGGAAGUAAAGAAUCCAAGACAGCAAUCCUAUUGGGCAUGCUGGACUGGUGGUAAGUCCCAUUACACACCAUGGAGCUUACUUCCAAAUAGACAUGCCUAGGAUCAUGCUGUUAUUUCACAGUGGGUGAAAAGGGCAAAAUACCACACCACCUGCACCCAGCUGCUUAGCUCAAUAUCUGGAAGGCAUUAAUGCCUUUAAUUUUCAGCUGCAACCACCCUGUGUGGAUUUAAACAUUCACUAAACCAGAGGGUAGAUUUACACCAUGGGAAGGAGGAAGAAACUCUAGGACCACUUUUUUGAAUUGGGCUUUGAUGAGACCCAAGCUGGAAUUGUGGACCUUCACGUCUUCCUUUUUACCCAUCCCCUUUCACCUUCAUCAAGUUUUCAUCUUACAGCUGCAGAAAAUGCAAACAGCUCCAGCUUUUGGUGGCUGCUCAGGCAAGACACCCUCCAUGGGACCCCCCUUCCUCAAUGAGGCUCCCACUUCACUUCCAUUGUCGCCAUCCACUGCCCCACCUCUUCCUCACCAUUGCAGCCUCCUGCUUGCUUGCCAGUUAGAGAGCCAAUGAGCAAGAGGGCUGAGACAUCUCUGGCUCCUCAACAUCACUGCUCCUGUUACCUGGGCAAGAGCAAGAGGAGGGUGAAGCAAGGAGGCUGCAGUGGUGAAGAGGAGGCCCAGUCCCAGGAGGCCCUUGUUAGCAGCCCCCAGGAAAUGCCUGGCUGUGCUGACUCUUGAUGUCAUGCAGCCCCUGAAGCCAACAGAACCAAAGCUGAACAGAGGAGUUAGAAAGGUCUACCAAGGCAAGAACCAUGAGGAUAAGUAUCCACAACACUUGUUCUCCCACUGCUUGUGAAUUCUUCUUCCUAAUUAAGAAAGGGGGGGAAUAGUGUUUGCCAUCCUUUCCCCCCCCCCCAGGUAAGUCCCCAUCCAACAGAAUGGUAGGACUUGCCAAGUCACCUGGGUGAAAAGAAUCCAUAGGUUAUGUAUUGUCCACGCCUUUAGCCGUAAACAAAUUAUGAAAAAUCUGGAUUUUAAAAUUCUUUAAGUGGUACGUGUGUGUGUGUGUGUGUGUGUGUGUGUGUUUGUGUGACUUUGAUGAGUUGAGGAAGUUCUCCAAUCCUGGACACACAUCUUGGUGUUCAGCCAUAAUGAAUGGCUUCCAAAGGUAACAUAAUCUUCAUCUUAAAUGCCAAAUAACUCCCCAAGAAGGAUGUUGAGCAUUUUCUUAAAGAGGAAAAGAAAAGUGAUGAUUACCUUUGGUGUCACUGAACGUGCAUUUUGGAGGAGGCAGAGCUGCGUCCUCCACUCAAAGUCUUGCAUUGCAAAACUUAAAAUGCAAAUUUUGACUGGAUUUGAAUGCAUGCUGAGCUUCUCUUGGCUGAUAUUCUGGAGUCAGUCAAUAAAUCACUUUAUGCCUAAAACAGCAAUAUUCCAUUAAUCCCAGGGGUGUGAAAGCUUUUUUUCAAACUGAGGGCCACAUUCCUCUCCAGGUGACCUUCUGGGGGCCAUAUGCCAGUGACAAGUGGGGAUGGAUGCAAAAGUGGGCAGGGCAACUAAUGUGAAUUAUACCUUUGUUCGGUAGGCUGCUUUCUGCCCAUGCUCACACAACCCUUUCUGCCCUCCAUGCAGGCAAGCAAAAGGCAUGAUCAGAGUUCAAGGACACAGUCCAGCCUGGCAAAAGCACUUGGGAUGAAAAGCAAGACCAGAGAGUGGAUUGUAGAGAUGAGGGGUGACUUGGGGCAAGUUUGAAGGGCCAGAUAGAGAUAGCCUGCAGGCCUGAGGCCAUUCUCAAUCUACUCUGAUGCCCUCCUCCAAUAAUGGGCAUGUGUCCUACUUUGCAGAAUGCAAUCCUCUAUUUUAUGGACUGUUCAGUCCAAGUUUGGUUUAAGGAUAAUGGAUCAUAAGAAGGGAGAGCAGCUGGAUCCAUUAAGUUGCCCAUUCACAGUCAGCACCUAGGACAGCAGACAAUGUCUGCUUAUGUGGGCUGAUCCACAUAACUAUAUGAUAUAUAGGUAGCUGCAGAGGAUUUUUUAAUAAGCUGGAACUCACUGGAACACAAUGCCAGCACCUCUCAGUUGGGCAUCAUUGCCAUUAUAAGAGAACAAGGGAGGUGUUCAUGGUGAGUUCUGACACCUCUUUUUCUAGAAAUAUAGCACUGAAGGUGGGUAGGUAGGUAGGUAGGUAGGUAGGUAGGUAGGUAGGAUCAUAGAACUGCAGAGUUGGCAAGGCAGGAAUCUUGCACCCAGUGUGGUCCUCAAACCCACAACCCUGAGAUUAAGGGGUCUCAUGCUCUACCAGUUGAGCUAUCUGAUAGAUGACAGCUGCCUUGUUAUCUGACGGAAGCAAUCUUUAUCUGGUUCAGUAUGCAUACAUUUCACACACUGAAACAAUGAGGAGGUUGAAGGGGAGGGAAUAACACUUUUUAAUGGUUUGUCUUUACAUGUUGCCCUAAAGAGAGGCCAUCCCGCCUGCAGAAGAGUGAAGGGAGAAGACCUCAUCUGAAAUGGCAUCUAAUGUCUCCAGCUACUUAUACUAAGAAUAAUCACCUUUUAUGUUAAACAGUGUCACCUGAUUAACUGGAGGAGUCUUAUUAAUUGAUGCAAACUUCAAAAGAAGAAGAUUAAAACAGAUUAAAAAUUGCAGCCUUAGAGAGGGAACAAUGUGGGUUGCUACUAGAGGACACUAGGAAUGCUCCAAACGCAUGCAAUUCAUAUCUCAAUAGUUCUUUUGAAGGUUUCCCAGCUUGAGUUUUAAGAAUGUGUAUCAGAAAUUAUACACAUGCCUCAGAUUUUUGCAUCAGUGGAGAAGGGUUGUAAGUAGUGGCCCCUCAAAAGAGGUAAGCGCACAAGAACAUAAGGAGAGCCUGCUGGAUCAGGCCAGUGGCUCAUCUAGUCCAGCAUCCUGUUCUCACAGUGGCCAACCAGAUGCCCCCAUGGGAAGCCCGAAAGCAGGAUCUGAACACAAAACCAACUCUCUCCUCCUGUGGUUUCCAGCAAUGGGUAUUCAGAAACAUUGCUUCCUCUGGCCAUGGCUGCAAGGUCAAGCCCAGCGGCUCACCUCAUCCAGCGUCCUGUUCUCACAGGAGACCUGAUGCCUAUUUUAAGCCCGCAAGCAAGACUUGAGUGGAACUGUAGCUCUCCUACACUGACCUGCACUGCUAGUUGAAUGUAGCCCACUCAAUGAACCCUGCAGUCUGCCAGACACAAGAGGCACCACAUGUGGUUGGUGAAUUGUUUAGUGGGUCACAAGCUUUGCAGGCAAGAGCUAGAAUCAGAUCUAAUUAAUGGCUGGCUACAUGUGCAUAGGAUAUAUGCUCGCACUACCCAACCCUUCCUGCUCUGUCCCUUCCCAGCCUUUCAGGAAGCACCAGCAUUUUAAGAGUGUUGGAUAAUGAUAAGGAGGUGUGGAUGUUCCCAGCUGAUGUCAUCCAUCUCCUGGCCAAUCACAAUCAAUGGGGUCUUUCUGCUUCAUUGCCCCAUUUGCUGUAUGAAAGUCAGAACCCCCAAUAGUCUGACCCAGGCACAAUGUCACAGACAGAAUUUAAUGAGCAGGAAACAUUUGCCUUCUGGAGCUGUCUGGAGCUAGGCAGCAAUUAAUUCAUAGACCACAGCAGAGCUGCAUAAGAUGUCAGCCACCACAAGCCCUUUCAGUCUGCUUGCUUUUUUCUUUUCUUCUUUCCUUUUUAAAAUAUUUAGCACUCCCAGAACAUUUCCAUAUCUGGAGCAUGGUUUUCUGCAGAUCACAAAGGCGCAUAUUUUGGUAUGGUUUUAUUAAGGGUCUAAUUCCAGGAAUGGUUGGAUACAGCCACCUCGCUCUGGUCAAUGCCUGGAUAGGAGAUCACCCAGGAUCCCAGUGGGACACUCCUUUGAGUUCCAUAAUGUUAGAAAGUUGAGAUACGAGUAUCAUAGUCUUAUAUUCCAAUACUUAUCUCAGGUCUCCACAAAUCAGUCCUUCUGUAGCCAAAAGGGCAUUUGCCAAUGCACAAUAGACUGUAAGAAGAGCCGUACUGGAUCAAGCCAAAAGGGGGCCCAUCUGGUCUAGCACCCUCUUCUCACAGUGGCCAACAGAUGCCCAUGGAAAGCCCUGAAGGAGGACUCUCCCCACUUGUAAUCCUCAGCAACUGGUAUUCAUUCGCCCAUUCCAACAGUGAAGGUGUAAUAUACGGAUUGGGGCUAGCAGCCAUGGAGAGCCUUCUACUCCAUGGAUUUGUCUAAUUCUCUUUAAAAGCCCCCCAGGUUGGUGGCCAUCACUGUCUCUUGCUGUGUGGUACAACAAUGCACUAUGUGAAGAAGGCCUUCCUUUUGUCUGUUAUGAAUCUUCCAACAUUCCUCUUCAUUGGGUGGCUCUAUGUUCUAGUGCAAUGAGAGAAGGAGAAAAAAACUUUUCUCUACCCACUUUCACCAUACCAUGUGUUCUGUUAUACAUUUAUUUAAUGUCUCCCUUACUCAAGGUGUAAGAAGGCUUGGUGAAACCCUUAAGUUAGCAGAAACACAGAAAAUCUUUAGAAGGCAACUCCAAAACAGCCCAAUGGGAACUGAGCAUGCUCUAUGGCCACAGAGUAGGACAGUCGGUAGAGCAUAAUCUCAAGGGCCAUGGUUCUGAGUCCCAUGUUGGGCAAAAGAUUCCUGCAUUGCAGAGGGUUGGACCAGAUGACCCUUGUGGUCACUUUUAAUUCUACAUUUCUAUGAUUCUAUGAAGUAGGGUUGACCUCUUUAUCCAGGACAUGCCCUCUUUUUCAUGGAUAUGUAAAAUAGUCAUCAUAGAGAUCCAUAGUUAAAAGCAGACAUCAGCAAAUGUAUCCUCUCUUUUUUCCUCUUUAAAAUACGGUAACCCUACACUGGCCACUGUGGGGCAGGGGACAUGGAAAACUGAAAAAAAAGCAGAACAGAGGAGCUAGAAUCAUAAACAGCAAAACUUUGCAUUGCAACAUUCUUUUGCAGCCCUCACUUGUCACCCUGAAUUUGGAGAAGAGCCAUUGUACUCGGUACAAUAACAAAGAGAGAGAGUUUAUAACACAUAUUUUAGUGCCAAAUAGUCUUUCAAUCAUUAACACAGCCACUUUUAGAUGUCUAAAUCUGGGGUGGGGAAUAGGUGUUUUUCUUCCUGUUAUUGAAAGCCUUUGGAACCAAGCAAAGUUGGACCAGGAGGUGAGAGCCAGGAAAGAUGAAAUGGUGUGAGCAUCAGACAAGAGCAAGAGAUAGGACACUGGAUCAAAUCUCUGCUCAGCUAGGAAGCUUACUGGGUGACCUUGGGCUAAUGGCUCCUUCUCAGCUUCACCUACAUUGCAAGGUUGUUAGGGGAGGAUAAAAUUGAGAGGGUGGGCAGGGUUAGGCUGAGCUCCUGCCCUGCAGGGAAGGGCAGGUUUCAAAGGCAAGAAAUAAGAGUAAAUAAUAAUAACAACAAAUAUUUUUUUUAAAAAAUAAAUAAAUACCCAGAACAAACUUAGUUGGGCUCUAAGGUGCUACUGGACAAUUUUUUAUUUUUUAUUUUUUUAUUUCGACUGUGUCAGACCAACAUGGCUACCCACCUGAACAAAUAAAAUUGUGUUUUCUGUUUGGGACACCUUGAUAAGAAUCAGAAUGACACUCUUUACAGGUGGUGGCAAAGAUGGCACAUUGCGCUUCAGAGAGUGCUAGCUGAUUGCUCUCAACAGCUAUUUCUUUCUCUCCUGAAAGCUGACAUGCUUCUCCACACACACUUCCCACAACAAACUCGGCUAAGGAUGAUGUGAUAUAAGAACAUGCUUUAUACUAAGCCAGGCUUCUGAUCCAGCAAACUUAGUAUUGUCCACACAGCAGGCAACUGUUCUUCAGGGUUUCAGGUAGAAAAAUUGCAGCCCUACCUGGAGAUGACAGGGAUUGAAUCUGAGACCUUCUGCAUACACAGCAGAUGCUUUACCACCAGGGGUUGGCAACCUAAGGCCCAUGGGCCACAAGCAGCCCACGGGGGUCAUUUAACUGGCCCAUGAGCCACCCCAAAACCAAGCUGCCCACUCGGCGAGUCCCAGUGUGCUGCGCUAAACCAGCACAGUGUGGUGCGGGGACUCACUUCCGGAGCACUGGAAAUCAUGUCUGCGCAGACGCAGACACUGGAAAUCGCAAGUGCGCACGCUCACGCACGCGAGCAAUCUGGCCCAUGGAGGGAUCUCUGCUUGAGUGAAUCAGCCCAUGCGAGGUAAACCUUGCCAAUCCCUGCUCUGCCACUAAUGUGUGGCUGAAGGAGCAGUGGUUCAGGGUUGAAGACCCAUUGCUAUUACUGCAGCAGGGUCCCAGCAGACUUUCUGGCUCCAAUUUCCUUCAGCCACUCAAUUAGCAGGAAAGUGAGUUUUUUAGCCUCUGGAAAUAAAUCUUCUCACCCUUUGAGCUGAUUGGAACCAAUUGGAGCUGAUUGGAGGGGAGGAGUUUUUGUUUUUGUUUUUGCUCUUGUUCUUGUUUUUAUGUAGUUUGUGUUCUCGUUUUGUAUUUCUAUGUUGUUAACUGCCCUGUGAUCUUCAGAUGAAGGAUGGUAUGCAUAUUUAAUAAAUCAUCAUCAUCAUCAAGGAGGUGAUUUAGCCUCUUAUUGGCUCCUAGGGUCACUCUGGAGAAGGAGCCCAGGAAGAACACAGAGCACAGAUUGUUCUGUGUGCUCCAAAGCACACAGGAACAGUGAAAACACCAGGUGCUUCAGUUUCAGGACAGUGGCUGCAAGUUCUGCUGCGUACAAUAGGACCUCAAGAAAAACAUGACUUACACCACUCUGAAAGAAUAUAUCAGAGCACUUCCAAACCGUCCGUUCUACUGCAGAGAAAAUAAUAGCAACAUGUGGACAUCUGUACUGGUGACUGCAAUGCAUUCCUAAUUAUAAUAUUAUUGCAUAAUAUUAAAG